GCAGAUGACUGAGAAAUUUAACUAUUUUUCCUACAGUGUCACAUUUUUUUUUAAGUAGAGGAGUUUUCCUGCAAAAUGUAAGUGAAUUGAAAUGUAUCUUUUUUGUCUAUUUGGACAGUUCAUUGCUUCGGGAUCAGUUUCUGUGUCUGCUGAAAAAAAACUGAACACAUCUUUGAUGAAAUGCAGUGUAGGAAUGAAUAUCACCAGUGCAAUACUGGCAUCCGUUGGCAUGAUUCUGUUCAUAGCACAACUGACUGUAAACUCUCGACGUUAUGAUACUUAUGCUGUAGGUACUGGUCUCUGUGUCAUGCUCUUCCUGUUUACCUUGCUAGAAUUCUGUAUCACUACUUGUUCAGCCCGUUUCAGGUGUCAGGAACCAGCUUUAGCUAUGAUAUGACUAUGGCUUUUAUGCCAUACACUAUAAUUGGAAAUGGUGUGCCUCCCACUGAAAAUAACCCACCUCCACCAGCCUAUGAUCAGGCAAUGCUUUCUCCCAAUGUAGAAGGUUAGCAAAUGGCACAUGAGAGGAAUGAAAAGCCACCCCUGCAAAUGGCCUCGGCAAUUUAGAUCUCAAGACUAAACUGCAUUUUUACAUAUAUCUUUUGUAAACAUUUGAAAACUCUUAUCCUUUUUUUAACUUUCAGGUUAGAUGUGAAUGUGUUGAUAGUCAAAUGAUAAAUUAUAUUUGACAAUAAUGUUAAUUUGGGCUGAGUAAUUUAAAUCCAUACCGAGGGCUAGCAUAUGUAGUGGUUUGGGCGUUGGAUUAGGACACUGAGAGACCAGGGCUCAAAUCCCCACUCAGCCAUGCAGACCAAGGACAAGUAAAACUUUCAUCACCUGAGGAAGACAAGAGCAACCCCCUUCUCCCACGAAAACCCUGUGAUAGGUUCACCAUGUCAGAAAUGACUUGAAGGCACACAACAAUGAAUUUAAAUUUAUAUCUCAGUCUCCACCUCAGAUGAAACAAUUUGAAGGAGGCUUAAAAUAGGCUGUUCAGUUAAUCAUGUAUUGAUAUAAACUUAGAUGAUUAUACACUAUAAAACCUAAUACUGAGGUUUUACUUCUGUCCCUGUUUCAAUAAAUUUCCUAUUUUGUUCUAAAUAAAAUUUUUGUUAUAUGUAAUAAAGAUAUAUAUUCUGCUGAUUUUCUUCAUUGAAAGAAUACUUGUAGAUGUUCCUUAAUAAACAUCCAGUUGCUUUCAUGUUUAUUAUUUCCUAUUUUAAUUUAUGCUAAAAU